UACGUAGGGUGCGAGCGUUGUCCGGAAUUACUGGGCGUAAAGAGCUUGUAGGUGGUUUGUCGCGUUGUUCGUGAAAUCUCACGGCUCAACUGUGAGCGUGCGGGCGAUACGGGCAGACUAGAGUACUGCAGGGGAGACUGGAAUUCCUGGUGUAGCGGUGGAAUGCGCAGAUAUCAGGAGGAACACCGGUGGCGAAGGCGGGUCUCUGGGUAGUAACUGACGCUGAGAAGCGAAAGCGUGGGGAGCGAACAGG
rnacentral:rRNA from 1 species